CAGUCGCCGCGGUAAUACGUAGGUGGCAAGCGUUGUCCGGAAUUAUUGGGCGUAAAGGGCUCGCAGGCGGUUUCUUAAGUCUGAUGUGAAAGCCCCCGGCUCAACCGGGGAGGGUCAUUGGAAACUGGGAAACUUGAGUGCAGAAGAGGAGAGUGGAAUUCCACGUGUAGCGGUGAAAUGCGUAGAGAUGUAGAGGAACACCAGUGGCGAAGGCGACUCUCUGGUCUGUAACUGACGCUGAGGAGCGAAAGCGUGGGGAGCGAACAGGAUUAGAUACCCCCGUAGUCCCUGUCUCUUAUAC
rnacentral:rRNA from 1 species